rnacentral:rRNA from 1 species
UACGUAGGGUGCGAGCGUUGUCCGGAAUUAUUGGGCGUAAAGAGCUCGUAGGCGGUUUGUUGCGUCGGCCGUGAAAACCUGCAGCUUAACUGUGGGCCUGCGGCCGAUACGGGCAGACUUGAGUUCGGUAGGGGACCACGGAAUUCCUGGUGUAGCGGCGAAAUGCGCAGAUAUCAGGAGGAACACCGGUGGCGAAGGCGGUGGUCUGGGCCGACACUGACGCUGAGGAGCGAAAGCGUGGGGAGCGAACAGG